GAUGAACGCUGGCGGCGUGCUUAAGACAUGCAAGUCGAACGGAGUGUGUAGCAAUACUCACUAAGUGGCGAAUGGGUGAGUAACACGUAGGUGACCUGCCCUGAAGUGCGGAAUAACAGUCCGAAAGGAUUGCUAAUACCGCAUGUGGUCCCGGGCGUUAGAGAACCGGGUCUAAAGCAGUAAUGCGCUUCAGGAGGGGCCUGCGGUCCAUCAGCUAGUUGGUAGGGAAUGGCCUACCAAGGCAACGACGGAUAGGGGACCUGAGAGGGUGGG
rnacentral:rRNA from 1 species